UAAGAACAUAGCAGAUCCAUUAUCGAGACUGUUAAGACCUGAGUCUGAUACUUGUUGAGUCAGUGCAUGAGAUGAAUAUGUCAAGUUUGUAACUAGAGAGGCAACACCGGUUGCUAUGACAACUCGUGAAAUUGGGAGAGAGUCUGAACAUGAUCUAGAGUUACAAUCUGUACGUGAAUGUAUUAUGAGUGGUAAGUGGGAUUGCCUCGUACAUAAGGAAU